rnacentral:rRNA from 1 species
CAGCACCUCAAGUGGUCAGGAUGAUUAUUGGGCCUAAAGCAUCCGUAGCCGGCGCUGUAAGUUUUCGGUUAAAUCUGUACACUCAACGUACAGGCUGCCGGGAAUACUGCAGCGCUAGGGAGUGGGAGAGGUAGACGGUACUCGGUAGGAAGGGGUAAAAUCCUUUGAUCUAUUGAUGACCACCUGUGGCGAAGGCGGUCUACCAGAACACGUCCGACGGUGAGGGAUGAAAGCUGGGGGAGCAAACCGGAUUAGAUACCCGAGUAGUCC